rnacentral:tmRNA from 1 species
CCUGAGGCGGAGGUCCUGCGGACGCGGGUUCGAUUCCCGCCGCCUCCACCA